UAGACACCGGGAACGUUUGGGACACCACUUUCCGGGGGCGGAAACUCGCCUGAAGGAGGUGGAAACGGCAUCGGCGUCCUUGGCGGAGAAAGCUGAGGAACGUCUGGCGACGGUGUGCAUACAGAGCAGCCUUUCGGCGGUGCUGGAGGUGGGGGACAUUCUGGUAACGCGGGUGGUGCUGGUGGUGGAGGACAUUCUGGUAACGCGGGUGGUGAAGGUGGGGGAGGAGAAGGCGGCUGAGGUGGCGGCGGUAAGAUCAAUUCCGGCGGUGGCGGAGACGGCAAUGGUUGGCAAGGGUUCUCGCAAGACUCGCAUACGACUGUGCAUGCAAUUUGGUCUUUACUUCUUGUUGAUAUCAAUGUUUC
rnacentral:lncRNA from 1 species